AGCCGUCAUUUCCGGCGCGCGGGAUUUACAUCCGGGGCGGCGCGGCUGUUGCGGGGAGACGGCGCCAUGGAAGCCGGGACUGACAGGAAGAGGCAGCGGGAGGAGGCGGCGGAGACGUCCGACCUCUCCGGGGAGGAAGAUGACGACUAUGUGCCCUACGUGCCCGUCAAGCAGCGCAAGCAGCAGAUGCUGCAGAAGUUGCUGCAGAUGCGGCGGAAGGUGGUGUCAGAGGAGGAGCAGCGGGACAGCGGGAGCGAGCAGCGGGGCGACGAGGAUGACAUCCCCCUGGGGCCCCAGUCCAACAUCAGCCUCCUGGACCAGCACCAGCACCUCAAAGAGAAGGCGGAAGCUCGGAAGGAGUCAGCCAAGGAGAAGCAGCUGAAGGAGGAAGAGAAGAUCCUGGAGAGUGUGGCAGAGGGCAGAGCUUUGAUGUCAGUGAAGGAGAUGGCAAAGGGCAUCACCUACGAUGAUCCAAUUAAAACCAGCUGGAGAGCACCUCGUUACAUCCUGGGCAUGUCAGAGGCACGGCACGAUCGCGUGCGCAAGAAGUACCACAUCCUGGUGGAGGGGGAAGGCAUCCCACCCCCCAUCAAGAGCUUCAAGGAGAUGAAGUUCCCAGCAGCUAUCCUGAGGGGCCUGAAGAAAAAAGGAAUCCAGCAGCCAACACCCAUACAGAUCCAAGGCAUCCCCACGAUCCUCUCAGGAAGGGACAUGAUUGGCAUUGCAUUCACUGGCUCUGGGAAGACCUUGGUGUUCACCCUCCCAGUGAUCAUGUUCUGCCUGGAGCAGGAGAAGAGGCUGCCGUUUUCCAAGCGAGAGGGACCCUAUGGACUCAUCAUCUGUCCCUCGCGGGAGCUGGCCCGGCAGACCCACGGCAUCAUUGAGUACUACUGUCGCCUGCUGCAGGAGGAUGGCCUGCCCCCGCUGCGCUGUGCCCUCUGCAUCGGGGGCAUGUCUGUCAAGGAGCAGAUGGAGACAAUCAAACAUGGUGUACACAUGAUGGUGGCAACCCCUGGCCGCCUGAUGGACCUGCUGCAGAAGAAGAUGGUGAGCCUGGACAUCUGCCGUUACUUGGCCUUGGAUGAGGCUGACAGGAUGAUCGAUAUGGGCUUUGAGGGGGACAUCCGUACCAUCUUCUCCUACUUCAAGGGCCAGCGGCAAACCCUUCUCUUCAGUGCCACAAUGCCCAAGAAGAUCCAGAACUUUGCCAAGAGUGCCCUGGUGAAGCCCAUCACCAUUAACGUUGGGCGAGCGGGUGCUGCCAGCCUGGAUGUUGUGCAGGAAGUGGAGUACGUGAAAGAGGAGGCCAAGAUGGUGUACCUCCUUGAGUGCCUGCAGAAGACCCCACCACCCGUGCUGAUCUUUGCAGAGAAAAAGGCGGAUGUCGAUGCGAUCCAUGAGUACCUGCUGCUCAAGGGUGUGGAAGCUGUGGCCAUCCAUGGAGGGAAAGAUCAGGAAGAACGGACAAAAGCCAUUGAGGCCUUCCGGGAUGGGAAGAAGGAUGUCCUGGUUGCCACUGAUGUCGCUUCCAAGGGCCUGGACUUCCCAGCCAUCCAGCACGUCAUCAACUACGACAUGCCGGAGGAGAUUGAGAACUAUGUUCACCGUAUCGGGCGUACAGGCCGUUCUGGCAACACUGGCAUUGCCACCACCUUCAUCAACAAGGCCUGCGAUGAGUCGGUGCUGAUGGACCUGAAGGCCCUGCUCCUGGAGGCGAAGCAGAAGGUGCCACCUGUGCUCCAGGUGCUGCACUGCGGGGAUGAGACCAUGCUGGACAUUGGAGGCGAGCGGGGCUGCGCCUUCUGCGGCGGCCUGGGCCAUCGCAUCACUGACUGCCCCAAGCUGGAGGCAAUGCAGACCAAGCAAGUCAGCAACAUCGGCCGCAAGGACUACCUGGCCCACAGCUCUAUGGAUUUCUAGCCUGGGGAGCGUGCUGCCCGGCGCUCCCCCUGCGCGGACCUUGGUUCCCUUUCAGCCAGGGCAGCGCCCCAGCUGCCCUCGCCUUUCCUAAGCCGAGGGGCCUGUCCUGCACUGCUGUGGCCCCUUUUCCAGGCCUUUGGCCACCGGAGCUAUUGCCAGCUCAGCCUGAUGAAGCUCCUGCCCCGGGAGGAAACUGGGAGGAAAUGUGUGGAGCCAUGCUGCAACAACCUGUUAUGUCAGCGGCGCAUUGGGCAAGCAGGUAGCGGUGCCUGAGGGGAGGAGGAAGCCCCAGGUGGAGUGACUGGUCUGUGGCCGGCUGCCUGCUGCGUCUGCCAGCCAGCCGCAGUGGUGCAGCCAGGGUCUUACGUCGCUCCUCUCCAAAGCCCCUUGAUUCCUCCAGGACUGUCCCCCUUACCUGGUUUUGUGCAUCCUCAGCUGGUGGCUGUUGCCGUAUCCCCCAAACACACUCUGAUGCAGCCAGGGCAAGGCGGGGCACGCUGCAUUUGUGUCAGGCAGUCCCCUAGGUGCUUCCUGUGCUCUGCCUGUGCGUGUUCUGCCCCACUGCCUUUCUGCGAGGGGGAGGGCAGAUGGAUGGACACCUCCUGUGGCCCAGCCUCUGCCCCUCAUCCCACACACCAAAAAGGGGAAGUUGCUGAGAGAAGGAAGUCUGCCCCAUGCAGUUGCUUCAGCUGCAGCAGUCACAUUUUCACCGCUGCUGGUAGCCCGAGUCCCCAGUCCUUGCGCUGGCCCAUGGAGAGACCGGUGAAGGAUGGGAUCCUCUAUGUGCAGCACUGCAAAUUUGGAAAGAGGUCCUGGAGGAAGAUGCGAGCCCAGCUCUUCGCUGCCAGCCCCUCUGGUGUGGCCCGCAUGGAGAAGUUUGAUGUGCGGGAUGAC